UUAAGUUCAGCGGGUAUCCCUACCUGAUCCGAGGUCAACCUUGGUGUUCGGCCCUUGCGGGCCAUUGGUUUUACGGCGCGAGGCGCGGUCGCAUUGGACGUGAGGGGUCGGCUGACGCCUUCCUUUUCUGCUACGCCCGGCGGGUCCGCGUGACUCUGCCGACGGUUUUGGGGCACCCCGGCGCGGAAGCGCGGGGGACG
rnacentral:misc_RNA from 1 species